AUGGGAAUUUCACAUACUUACACCCACCCACACACACACCAAGCAGCAACAUGGGAAUUUCACACACUCACACACAUACCAGGCAGCAUCAUGGGAAUUUCACACACACACACACACACACACACACACCAGGCAGCAACAUGGGAAUUUCACACACACACACACACACACACACACACACACACACACCAGGCAGCAUCAUGGGAAUUUCACAUACACAUCAGGCAGCAACAUGGGAAUUUCACACACACACACAGACACACACACACACACACACAUAUACUAGGCAGCAUCAUGGGAAUUUCACAUACACACACAUACACACACACACCAGGCAGGAACAUGGGAAUUUCACACCCACACACCCACACACACACCAGGCAGCAACAUGGGAAUUUCACACACUCACAGACACACACACACACACACGAGGCAGCAUCAUGGGAAUUUCACACACACACACACACACACACACACACACCAGGCAGCAUCAUGGGAAUUUCACAUACUUACACCCACCCACACACACACCAAGCAGCAACAUGGGAAUUUCACACACUCACACACAUACCAGGCAGCAUCAUGGGAAUUUCACACACACACACACACACACACACACACACACCAGGCAGCAACAUGGGAGUUUCACACACACACACACACACACACACACACACACACACACACCAGGCAGCAUCAUGGGAAUUUCACAUACACAUCAGGCAGCAACAUGGGAAUUUCACACACACACAGACACACACACACACACACACACACACAUAUACUAGGCAGCAUCAUGGGAAUUUCACAUACACACACAUACACACACACACCAGGCAGGAACAUGGGAAUUUCACACCCACACACCCACACACACACCAGGCAGCAACAUGGGAAUUUCACACACUCACAGACACACACACACACACACGAGGCAGCAUCAUGGGAAUUUCACACACACACACACACACACACCAGGCAGCAUCAUGGGAAUUUCACACACUCACAGACACACACAUACACAUACACACACACAAAGCAGCAACAUGGGAAUUUCACACACACACACAGACACACACCAGGCAGCAAUAUGAGAAUUUCAAACACACACACAUACAUACCCAUUAA
rnacentral:lncRNA from 1 species